UUCCGCGUGUUUCCCUGGCGCGAACCCAAGGAACAAGGCGGGGGCAGCCAAACAGGCUUUUAUUGGGGGGGUCAUGUCAGUGCUCGGUCAAACAACCGCCUUCUACUGCGGGGCUCUGUCGGUGCUCAGCCACACAGGCCUUUACCGCGGAGGGGUUUUGUCGGUGCAGCCGAACACGCAGACGGUGCCCGAGGCCAGGCGGUGGCGGUACUCGUGCAGCAGGCUGGCCGCGGGAGGGAAGCCGCUCUUCACCUGCACCUUCCCGGGCACCACCAGCAGCGUGACGUCGGGGCCCAGGCCGUCGGACAGCUUCUGCAGCAUGCGGCGGGCCAGGUAGCCCCCGGCGCGGCUCGGCUCGGCCUCCAGGCUGGCGUAGACCUCGGGCGGCGGGUUGGGCAGCUUCCACUCCACCUCGCCGAUGAGUUGCCCAGUGCGCGCUUUGUCGAGCGCCGCGGGGUUCUCCGCGUAGCAGGCCACCAGGCGGAGGCCGUCCGGGGCGCGGCCGGCCACGAAGCUGCCCCGCGCCAGCGGCAGGGCCUCGCCGUCGCCGCCCUCCUGCUCAGGCGGCUGCUGCUCCCGUUCCCGCGCCGCGCCGCGCCCCUCGGGCCGCCACACCACCACGGCCCAGCGCAGCCAGUCGUAGUUCUGCUCCAGCUGCCGCAGCACGCGGGCGGCCAGGUCGGCGGGCGCCGGCGCGGACGGGGCCUCGGCGUCCAGCACGCGCUGCACGUCGUCGCCCGCCUGCUCACGGAAGAAGCCGGCGCAGCGGGCCAGCGCUUCGUGCAUGCGCGCGUGCACGGCGCCCACGCGCUCGCCCCAGACGCCCAGCAGCAACGCCGGAUCGCGCCCGCUCAGCCCGGCGGCGGCCAGCAGGCUCAGCAGCCCCGCGCCCAGCACGGCGUUCAGCUGCCGNCAGAGGCGCGCCAUCUGCGGCCGCCGCGGCCGCAGCUGCUCGGCCGCCUGCUCGAGCACAGGCGGGCGCAGCGCCAGGACGGCAGCGCCUUGNACGCGGCGCCAGAGGACCAGCAGGCGCCGCUCGAGCUGCUCCUGCGCGCAGCGCUGCAGCAGCAGCUCCGCCUCGCGCGGAGCCUGCGCGGCGGGGGCGCGCAGGGCCAGGCAGAGCUGCGCGAAGGCGCCGGCCACGGCGUCCUCGCAGGCACUCAGCUCGGCGUCCUCCAGCAGCCCCGGGCCGGCCGCCAGGUCCCGCUCCAGCGCCGCCACCUCUCGGCGGACGAAGGCCAGUUCCUCGCCGCUGGCCGUGCCGCGCAGCUGGGCCACCGCGCCAAGGGCGAGCGAGCGCAGCGACUGCAGAAAGCCCAGCGGCUCCAGGCACUGGACGAAGAGCGCCAUGCGGGGGCCUGCGGCGAGAACGGGGGGGGCGAGAGAGGGAAGCUCGUGAGCGCUCCNGGGAUGGACGGCCCGCGCACCCCGUCGUCCCCACCCGCCCCAACUGGNCCCGGAGCCGCCCCGGGAUCUGGAUGGCGUUGGAAAAGGAAGGGGCUCCUCCUCUCCCCGAGCCCGGGGGCACUCUCCCCGGGAUCCUGGAGGAGGGGGGUCUGGCGAGGACGGGAAUGGAGCUCGGGGGGAGACCCUUCCCUGCGUUCGUAUCCGCGGCGGAAUGGAGCUGCUCCUCCGCCUCGCUCUUCCCCCUCAUGGGNGCCCCCCUAG
ensembl:lncRNA